rnacentral:rRNA from 1 species
AUGGCGGCGCAGGCGUGGAAGACACGGUUCCGGGAGCGGGUGAUGCAGGCGCACGCCCGCUGCCUUAUCAUCCCCGGGAAGAUAGGCCACGCGCGGGCGAUGCUAAUGGGGCCGCUGCGCGGGCCGGUACUGCGCAGCAGUCCCAUCGAGAUCGCGGAGGAGUCGCUCGAGGACGCGGCCAGCGAUCUCUACGCCGCCGCGUCCUUGCUGGGGAGCGCCACGGAGCUCGCGCUACGCGGAGGCGCCACGGAGCUCUUCCUCCCGUCCAACCCGGUGCGCAGCAUCCGCCUCCUCCCCGGCACAGCCGCCGCGCAGCGGCGCGCCUGCCACAAGCUCCUGGCUGCCAGGCAGCUCGCCGAAGAAGCGUACGACGCCGUGGAGCUGUGCAGCGACCUCCGGCUGGGGAUCCGCUGCCUGCUGGACAUCCAGCGUCUCCCCGGCGUGGCCGAGCUCAUCGAGGCCGAGCGCCUCAGGGCCUACAACCUCCUCGCGAAGGUGAGGAAGACGGCCGACGGUUGCGUCUGGCUGGUCGCCGGCGCCCUCGAGGACCUGAGGGGUGCCGUGCCCGUGCGUGCGACUUGA